rnacentral:tRNA from 1 species
GCGAAAGUGGCGGAACUGGUAGACGCGCUGGAUUUAGGAUCCAGUCCUUUACCGGGUGGGGGUUCGAGUCCCCCCUUUCGCA